UUUUUUUUUUUUUUUUUUUUUGGAAUUAACGACACCUAAUUAAAACUGAAAUUAAUUCAACCACAAGAAUUUACAUAAAAAAAAAAAAAAAGCUCAGCCUCCAAAGAUGCACGCCUCCAUAGAAUCAAGAGAAAACAAAACCAAACGAAGAAACUGGAGUAAAAAAUUCAUCAUUAUCAAGCGGGAGCUCGAAUUAAAGGGGUAUGUAAAGAAGAAGCAAAGGGAAGGCUGCGCAGAAUGAGAAAACGAACUCGCCUUGGGAAAGGGGCUUCAUUAAACAUGUGCUCCAGCACCCUCGCCAGCAGCGCCGUGUACUCCUCCAGCAGCUCCGCUACGAUCGCCACCAGUAUCAUCUUCUUUCUUGUAUAGAUGAGCCCUUUCGGAUAAGAAAAUAAGAUUCGGAAUAUAUAUAUAAAUAUUUUUGGAUCAAGGAAGAUUUGGCAUAUUGGUGUGUGGUUUUUAUAUCUUGUUAUAUGUUUUGUUUGGGGUUUUUGCUGCGGCGAUUACCACGGCGCCAUCAAUAGCUUUUCCAGUGUGCCGGUCCUUGUCUACCUCGCUUCCGCUUCCACGCGGCCGCCCCCAUCACACGACUUUAGUUUUAGAUUUUUCUGGACCCUCAUCCUUAUCCUCCCCAUCCAUUUAUGAUAACC
rnacentral:misc_RNA from 1 species